UCUCAGCAGCAUGUGAGCUCUCCAGAUCAUCUUGUCUCAGCUUUAGAGGUAUGGAUCCACGCAUCCCUCCACCUUCCCUCCACCCCGCUAAUCACGGAACUGGGCUGAACCAGCCUGUAAACCAUUUACACUUUACUCAACUGGAAGCCUCUCCAAACUGCUGAGAAAGGCACGUUUGUUUCUGAAGAGGCAAGAGGUAUCUCUUCCCUCCUCCAGAGAUGACUUCUCCUCAACUCCUGUAUUUUGCUUUUCCUGAUGCAGAGGCUUCUCCCAGAAGACCAUAUUCCUAGCUGCAGGACUUCACUGUGGAAUGGAGCAGCUUUAAAAUACAAGAAGUCCAUUCUACGGGAACAGACAGAUAAGCAGUCUGCAAGGAUCAUCAUCUCAUUUCACAUAUGAUAUG
ensembl:lncRNA